rnacentral:rRNA from 1 species
AUACGUAGGGAGCGAGCGUUGUCCGGAAUUACUGGGUGUAAAGGGUGCGUAGGCGGGACUGCAAGUCAGAUGUGAAAUACAUGGGCUCAACCCAUGGGCUGCAUUUGAAACUGCAUUUCUUGAGUGAAGUAGAGGUAAGCGGAAUUCCUGGUGUAGCGGUGAAAUGCGUAGAUAUCAGGAGGAACACCGGUGGCGAAGGCGGCUUACUGGGCUUUUACUGACGCUGAGGCUCGAAAGCGUGGGGAGCAAACAGGAUUAGAUACCCUGGUAGUCCACGCUGUAAACGAUGAUUACUAGGUGUGGGGGGACUGACCCCUUCCGUGCCGCAGUUAACACAAUAAGUAAUCCACCUGGGGAGUACGGCCGCAAGGUUGAAACUCAAAUGAAUUGGCGGGG